rnacentral:rRNA from 1 species
UAUGGAAGCUUGCUUCCACUGAGAAGAUAGUGGCGAACGGGUGAGUAACACGUGGGUAACCUGCCCAUAGAGGGGGAUAACAUCCGGAAACGGGUGCUAAUACCGCAUAGUUUUCUUGAUCGCAUGAUCGGGAAAGGAAGACGGCCUUUGUGCUGUCGCUUAUGGAUGGACCCGCGGCGUAUUAGUUAGUUGGUGAGGUAACGGCUCACCAAGACGAUGAUACGUAGCCGACCUGAGAGGGUGAUCGGCCACAUUGGGACUGAGACACGGCCCAAACUCCUACGGGAGGCAGCAGUGGGGAAUAUUGCACAAUGGGGGAAACCCUGAUGCCAGCAACGCCGCGUGAGUGAUGACGGCCUUCGGGUUGUAAAGCUCUGUCUUCAGGGACGAUAAUGACGGUACCUGAGGAGGAAGCCACGGCUAACUACGUGCCAGCCGCCGC